AGUGAACGCUGGCGGUAUGCCUAACACAUGCAAGUCGAACGGCAGCACAGGAAGUGCUGGCUCUUACGGGUGUCGAGUGUCGGACGGUGGAGUUAUACUUCGGAUUCUACUUUGUCGUGGGUGCUAAUGUCGGGAAACUUACUCUAAUACCGCAUAUGACCUACGGGUGUAAGCAGGGGUUCUUCUGACCUUUUGCGAGUGUAUGAGCCGAUGUCGGCUUAGCUAGUUGGCGGGUUAAAGGCCCACCAAGGCGACGAUCCGUAGCUGGUCUGAGAGGAUGAUCCGCCACACUGGCAGUGAGACACGGUCGAGACUCCUACGGGAGGCCGCAGUGGGGAAUAUUGGACAAGGGAGGAGAGGCUGAUACAGGACUACCGCGUAGGUGCAGAAGGAGUUAGGGUUGUAAAGUCAUUUUGUUGGGAGAGAAAAAAAGCAGGUUAAUACGCCGCUGUUAUGACGGUACCGAAAGAAUAAGCACCGGCUAACUUCGUG
rnacentral:rRNA from 1 species